CUGUUUAUCAAAAACAUCGCCUCCUGACAUCCCAAUAUAGGAGGUCCAGCCUGCCCAGUGACAAUAGUUUAACGGCCGCGGUAUUUUGACCGUGCAAAGGUAGCGCAAUCACUCGUCCUUUAAAUAGGGACCUGUAUGAAUGGCCAAACGAGGGCUUAACUGUCUCCCCCAUCAAGUCAGUGAAAUUGAUCUAUCCGUGCAGAAGCGGAUAUAAUAAUACAAGACGAGAAGACCCUUUGGAGCUUAAGGUACAAGAUUUAAUUUACAUCAAGCAAACCAAUAAAAGUGAUUAAGCUAGUAAAAGAUAAACCUCUACCUUCGGUUGGGGCGACCACGGAGUAAAAAACAACCUCCAAGCGGAACGGGCACAGCCCUAAAACCAAGAGAAACAUCUCUAAGCCUCAGAACACCUGACCAAAGACGAUCCGGCCUAUAAGCCGAUCAACGAACCAAGUUACCCUAGGGAUAACAGCGCAAUCCUCUCUAAGAGUCCAUAUCGACGAGGGGGUUUACGACCUCGAUGUUGGAUCAGGACAUCCUAAUGGUGCAGCCGCUAUUAAGGGUUCGUUUGUUCAACGAUUAAUAGUCCUACGUGAUCUGAGUUCARAC
rnacentral:rRNA from 1 species